rnacentral:tRNA from 1 species
GUCGUUAGCUCAGUUGGUAGAGCAGUUGACUUUUAAUCAAUUGGUCGCUGGUUCGAAUCCAGCACGAC